UACGUAGGGUGCGAGCGUUAAUCGGAAUUACUGGGCGUAAAGCGUGCGCAGGCGGUUUUGUAAGCCAGAUGUGAAAGCCCCGGGCUUAACCUGGGAAUGGCAUUUGGGACUGCAAGGCUGGAGUGUGGCAGAGGAGACUGGAAUUCCUGGUGUAGCAGUGAAAUGCGUAGAUAUCAGGAGGAACACCGAUGGCGAAGGCAGGUCUCUGGGCUGACACUGACGCUCAUGCACGAAAGCGUGGGAGCAAACAGG
rnacentral:rRNA from 1 species